rnacentral:rRNA from 1 species
UACGUAGGUGGCAAGCGUUGUCCGGAAUUACUGGGCGUAAAGGGCGAGUAGGCGGUCUUACCAGUCAGAUGUGAAAGGCGAGGGCUCAACCCUCGGACUGCAUUUGAAACUGUAAGACUUGAGUGCGGUAGAGGAAAGUGGAAUUCCCAGUGUAGCGGUGAAAUGCGUAGAUAUUGGGAGGAACACCAGUGGCGAAGGCGACUUUCUGGGCCGUAACUGACGCUGAGGCGCGAAAGCGUGGGGAGCAAAC